rnacentral:rRNA from 1 species
AUUGAACGCUGGCGGCAUGCCUUACACAUGCAAGUCGAACGGCAGCACGGGGCAACCUGGUGGCGAGUGGCGAACGGGUGAGUAAUGCAUCGGAACGUACCUUUCAGUGGGGGAUAACGUAGCGAAAGUUACGCUAAUACCGCAUACGAUCUAAGGAUGAAAGUGGGGGAUCGCAAGACCUCAUGCUCCUGGAGCGGCCGAUAUCUGAUUAGCUAGUUGGUGAGGUAAAGGCUCACCAAGGCAUCGAUCAGUAGCUGGUCUGAGAGGACGACCAGCCACACUGGAACUGAGACACGGUCCAGACUCCUACGGGAGGCAGCAGUGGGGAAUUUUGGACAAUGGGGGCAACCCUGAUCCAGCAAUGCCGCGUGAGUGAAGAAGGCCUUCGGGUUGUAAAGCUCUUUUGUCAGGGAAGAAACGGUGAAGGCUAAUAUCCUUUGCUAAUGACGGUACCUGAAGAAUAAGCACCGGCUAACUACGUGCCAGCCGCCGCGGUAACAC